rnacentral:rRNA from 1 species
UACGUAGGCAGCGAGCGUUGUUCGGAGUUACUGGGCGUAAAGAGUGCGUAGGCGGUUUUCUAAGUUUGGUGUGAAAUCUCCCGGCUUAACUGGGAGGGUGCGCCGAAAACUGGAAGGCUUGAGUAUGGGAGAGGUAAGCGGAAUUCCUGGUGUAGCGGUGAAAUGCGUAGAUAUCGAUAGGAACUCCGGUGGCGAAGGCGGCAUACUGGUCCACUUCUGACGCUGAGGCGCGAAAGCCAGGGGAGCAAACGGG